rnacentral:lncRNA from 1 species
GGGAAGGUAUCUGAAGGUGAAAGGAAAUCCAACCUGCUCCAGGAAAGCAGAGCUGAUGGCAGUGGGUUCAGAAAGGCUGACCUGCAGUCUAGGGCACAGCCCAGUCCCCACUCCCUCUACCUGGCUCGGCCAUUCAUGGUAAGUGUGGUCAGAAAGACUCUAGUUAGAAAAGACAAUGUCAAAACCAAGUCCACAUCAUUUCUGCCCCUCAGAGAGCCCAAGUUUGUCCAAAGUGAUAGAAGUAGAGUCCCAAAUAUUACUAUUGACUCUGCUGACUGUAAAGGAGAACAAUCUUGCUUAGUUCAAAGGCAGAGCAGUAUGUAGAAAGCAGCUACAGAAAAAAGCUGAAGCACAGGCCUCAGCUAGAGGCAGUGGGAGCUGGCAGAAAGCUCAGCCACCAAAUUGAGAUGCUCAGCCCCUUUGAGGAAGUAGCUGAAUGCUUUAAGGAAUAAUACAACAUGUUUGCCAUGGCCCUGGACACCAGGCAUGAGCUGCCUGUGAGACUGAGCCACCUGGAGGAAGAUGGGCAGCGAUUCUUAGGU